GACAGAGGGUGCAAACGUUGUUCGGAAUUACUGGGCGUAAAGCGCGUGUAGGCGGCCAACUAAGUCGGGCGUGAAAUCCCACGGCUCAACCGUGGAAGUGCACUCGAAACUGGAUGGCUAGAGUCCUGGAGAGGAAGGUGGGAUGCUUGGUGUAGAGGUGAAAAUUCGUAGAUAUCAAGCGGAACACCGGUGGCGAAGGCGGCCUUCUGGACAGUGACUGACGCUGAGACGCGAAAAGCGU
rnacentral:rRNA from 1 species